UACGUAGGUGGCAAGCGUUAUCCGGAUUUACUGGGUGUAAAGGGCGUGUAGGCGGGAGAGCGAGUCAGACGUGAAAUUCCAGGGCUCAACCCUGGAACUGCGUUUGAAACUGUUCUUCUUGAGUGAUGGAGAGGCAGGCGGAAUUCCGUGUGUAGCGGUGAAAUGCGUAGAUAUACGGAGGAACACCAGUGGCGAAGGCGGCCUGCUGGACAUUAACUGACGCUGAGGCGCGAAAGCGUGGGGAGCAAACAGG
rnacentral:rRNA from 1 species